rfam:Camelus ferus unplaced genomic scaffold scaffold1044, whole genome shotgun sequence.
GAGGGUGUUGCUAAAGUGGUAGAGCACGUGCUUAGCAUACACAAGGUCCUGGGUUCAAUUCCCAGUACCUCCU